AUGGAGCGCCGCGCGUUGCUCAAGACGACUCUACUGGCGUGCUUGCUCGUGGUCUGCUCCGGGAGAGUACCUAUGGUUAUACAACAGCCAUCCACUACCAUAUACAACUCAACCCUUGCCAAGACACUAGUGGAAUAUGCUGCUGCCAUCUAUACUGCUGAUUUGACACAGUUGUUUACCUGGACAUGUGAUAGAUGCGGUGACCUGAUUGAGGGGUUUGAGAUGAUGGACAUCAUCGUAGAUGUGGAGAACUGCUUAGAGGCAUAUGUUGGUUUUGCUAGUGAUAUUAAUGCUGUCAUCGUUGUGUUUAGAGGAACUCAAGAAAACAGCAUCCAGAACUGGAUAGAGGACCUGUUAUGGAAACAACUUGAUCUUGAUUACCCUGGCAUGCCUGAAGCAAUGGUACACCGAGGAUUUUACUCUGCUUAUCAUAACACAACCAUACGCGAUGGAAUCGUCAGCGGUAUUCAAAAGACUCGGAAAUUGCAUGGAGAUGUUCCGAUCAUGGUCACAGGGCAUUCAAUGGGGGCAGCUAUGGCUUCAUUUUGUGCACUUGAUCUUGUUGUGAACUACGGGUUGGAUGAUGUGAAGCUGAUGACAUUUGGGCAACCUCGCGUCGGCAAUGCUGCUUUUGCUUCUUACUUCAAGAGAUACUUGCCUCACGCGAUCCGAGUUACUAAUGCAAACGAUAUCGUCCCUCAUCUGCCACCAUACUUCUCGUUCUUCCCUCAGAAGACCUACCAUCACUUUCCAAGAGAGGUAUGGGUCCAUGAUGUCGGGCUCGGGAGCCUGGUAUACACGGUUGAGCAGAUCUGCGACGACUCCGGCGAAGACCCGGCAUGCAGCAGGUCCCUCCCUCUCUCCCCCGCGGCCAUCUCCCGUCAACUGUGCCACUGCCGCGCCGCAUGCCACCCGCUCUUGGUUAACAUUGUUCGCUGCCUUCUCAGGUCUGUGAGCGGUAACAGCAUUCAAGAUCACAUAACCUACCUGGGCGUGAGCAUGCACGCGGAGGCCUGGAGCAGCUGCAGGAUCGUCAUGGACUACGCCGAGCUGCGGUACAAGAUGGACCUCCAUGGAAACGUCGUCUUGUCGAAGCAGCAGCAGCAGCAGCAGCAGCCCGGUCUGUCGGACCAGCGAAGAAGACACAGCGCCCAGUGA
rnacentral:rRNA from 1 species